GACGAACGCUGGCGGCGUGCCUAAUACAUGCAAGUAGAACGCUGAAGGAGGAGCUUGCUUCUCUGGAUGAGUUGCGAACGGGUGAGUAACGCGUAGGUAACCUGCCUGGUAGCGGGGGAUAACUAUUGGAAACGAUAGCUAAUACCGCAUAAGAGUAGAUGUUGCAUGACAUUUGCUUAAAAGGUGCAAUUGCAUCACUACCAGAUGGACCUGCGUUGUAUUAGCUAGUUGGUGGGGUAACGGCUUACUAAGGCGACGAUACAUAGCCGACCUGAGAGGGUGAUCGGCCACACUGGGACUGAGACACGGCCCAGACUCCUACGGGAGGCAGCAGUAGGGAAUCUUCGGCAAUGGACGGAAGUCUGACCGAGCAACGCCGCGUGAGUGAAGAAGGUUUUCGGAUCGUAAAGCUCUGUUGUAAGAGAAGAACGAGUGUGAGAGUGGAAAGUUCACACUGUGACGGUAUCUUACCAGAAAGGGACGGCUAACUACGUG
rnacentral:rRNA from 1 species